AUUGAACGCUGGCGGCAGGCCUAACACAUGCAAGUCGAACGAGCGGCGGACGGGUGAGUAAUGUCUGGGAAACUGCCUGAUGGAGGGGGAUAACUACUGGAAACGGUAGCUAAUACCGCAUACUAUCGGAUGUGCCCAGAUUGGUUUAUCUAGUAGGUGGGGUAACGGCUCACCAAGGCAACGAUCCCUAGCUGGGCUGAGAGGAUGAACGGACACACUGAAACGGAGAAACGGCCCAGAAUACUAAGUGAGGCAGCAGUGGGGAAUAUUGCACAAUGGGCAGAAGCCUGAUGCAGCCGUGCGGCGUGUAUGAAGAAGGCCUUAGGGUUAUAAAGUACUUUCAGUGGGGAGGCGUUACCCGCAGAAGAAGCACCGGCUAACUCCGAGCCAACAGCCGCGGUAAUAC
rnacentral:rRNA from 1 species